AAUAGAUACCCAGGGUAGUCCACGCCGUAAACGAUGAGUGCUAAGUGUUAGGGGGUUUCCGCCCCUUAGUGCUGCAGCUAACGCAUUAAGCACUCCGCCUGGGGAGUACGGUCGCAAGACUGAAACUCAAAGGAAUUGACGGGGGCCCGCACAAGCGGUGGAGCAUGUGGUUUAAUUCGAAGCAACGCGAAGAACCUUACCAGGUCUUGACAUCCCAUUGACCACUAUGGAGACAUAGUUUUCCCUUCGGGGACAACGGUGACAGGUGGUGCAUGGUUGUCGUCAGCUCGUGUCGUGAGAUGUUGGGUUAAGUCCCGCAACGAGCGCAACCCUUGUUCUUAGUUGCCAUCAUUUAGUUGGGCACUCUAAGGAGACUGCCGGUGACAAACCGGAGGAAGGUGGGGAUGACGUCAAAUCAUCAUGCCCCUUAUGACCUGGGCUACACACGUGCUACAAUGGACGGUACAAACGGUUGCCAACCCGCGAGGGGGAGCUAAUCCGAUAAAACCGUUCUCAGUUCGGAUUGUAGGCUGCAACUCGCCUACA
rnacentral:rRNA from 1 species